UACAGAGGUCUCAAGCGUUGUUCGGAUUCAUUGGGCGUAAAGGGUGCGUAGGUGGCGUGGUAAGUCGGGUGUGAAAUUUCGGAGCUUAACUCCGAAACUGCAUUCGAUACUGCUGUGCUUGAGGACUGGAGAGGGGACUGGAAUUUACGGUGUAGCAGUGAAAUGCGUAGAGAUCGUAAGGAAGACCAGUGGCGAAGGCGGGUCUCUGGACAGUUCCUGACGCUGAGGCACGAAGGCCAGGGGAGCAAACGGG
rnacentral:rRNA from 1 species